UACGUAGGGUGCGAGCGUUGUCCGGAAUUACUGGGCGUAAAGAGCUCGUAGGCGGUUUGUCGCGUCGUCCGUGAAAACUUGGGGCUCAACCCCAAGCUUGCGGGCGAUACGGGCAGACUUGAGUACUGCAGGGGAGACUGGAAUUCCUGGUGUAGCGGUGAAAUGCGUAGAGAUCAGGAGGAACACCCGUGGCGAAGGCGGCGCCCUGGUCCGUUACUGACGCUGAGACGCGAAAGCGCGGGGAGCGAACGGG
rnacentral:rRNA from 1 species